AUUGAACGCUGGCGGCAGGCUUAACACAUGCAAGUCGAGCGGAUGAAGGGAGCUUGCUCCUGGUUUCAGCGGCGGACGGGUGAGUAAUGCCUAGGAAUCUGCCUGGUAGUGGGGGAUAACGUCUGGAAAAGGGCGCUAAUACCGCCUACGUCCUGAGGGAGAAAGAGGGGGAUCUUCGGACCUCACGCUAUCAGAUGAGCCUAGGUCGGAUUAGCUAGUUGGUGGGGUAAAGGCCUACCAAGCGGACGAUCCGUAACUGGUCUGAGAGGAUGAUCAGUCACAUUAGAACUGGAACAGGGUCAAUGGGCCUAAGGGAGGGAGCAGUGGGCAAUAUUGGACAGUAGGCGGGAGCCUGACCCAGCCAUGCCGCGUGUGUGAAGAAGGUCUUCGGAUUGUAAAGCACGUUAAGUUGGGAGGAAGGGCAGUAAGUUGAUACCUUGCUGUUUUGACGUUACCAACAGAAGAAGCACCGGCUAACUUCGUG
rnacentral:rRNA from 1 species